rnacentral:rRNA from 1 species
AUUGAACGCUGGCGGCAGGCCUAACACAUGCAAGUCGAGCGAGCGGCGGGCGGGUGAGUAAUGUAUGGGGACUGCCCGAUAGCGGGGGAUAACUACUGGAAACGGUAGCUAAUCCCGCAUACUAUCGGAUAACCCAUAUGGGAUUAGCUAGUUGGUGAGGUAAUGGCUCACAAAGGCGACGAUCCCUAGCUGGUCUGAGCGGAUGAUCAGCCACACUGGGACUGAGACACGGCCCAGACUCCUACGGAGGCAGCAGUGGGGAAUAUUGCACAAUGGGCGCAAGCCUGAUGCAGCCAUGCCGCGUGGAUGAAGAAGGCCCUAGGGUUGUAAAGUACUUUCAGUCGGGAGGCGGUACCGAAAGAAGAAGCACCGGCUAACUCCGUGCCAGCAGCCGCGGUAAUAC